rnacentral:rRNA from 1 species
CCUACGGGAGGCUGCAGUGGGGAAUAUUGCACAAUGGGCGCAAGCCUGAUGCAGCCAUGCCGCGUGUGUGGAGAAGGCCUUCGGGUUGUAAAGCACUUUCAGCGGGGAGGAAGGCGGUGAGGUUAAUAACCUCAUCGAUUGACGUUACCCGCAGAAGAAGCACCGGCUAACUCCGUGCCAGCGGCCGCGGUAAUACGGAGGGUGCAAGCGUUAAUCGGAAUUACUGGGCGUAAAGCGCACGCAGGCGGUCUGUCAAGUCGGAUGUGAAAUCCCCGGGCUCAACCUGGGAACUGCAUUCGAAACUGGCAGGCUAGAGUCUUGUAGAGGGGGGUAGAAUUCCAGGUGUAGCGGUGAAAUGCGUAGAGAUCUGGAGGAAUACCGGUGGCGAAGGCGGCCCCCUGGACAAAGACUGACGCUCAGGUGCGAAAGCGUGGGGAGCAAACAGGAUUAGAUACCCGUGUAGUC